CCCCCCCACCCGCCCUUUUUUUUCUUUGCUUUAAGCAGCCCGCCCUGCCCAGCCAGUGAGGGAGCGCAAGGCUCCCCGAUGCCCGAAGGCGCCGGCAGCCGCUGGCCGCUCGCCCCGGGGGACAGCGGUGCUCCCCGCUUCUCCCGCACGCCCCGGCGGGGCCGCGCUCUCGUGCCCUGCAGCCCGAGGCGUUUUGCAGCGCGUUGUCCUGCGCGUCCCGGCCGGUGGUCGGCGGCGGUGCGCACCUCGCCGCCGGGCAGAGCCGGGCAGGGCAGCGGCUCCCCUGCUUCUUCCUAGGGAAGAAACCCCCACCCCCGGGACAGGUUUCUCCGCGCCAGCCGCGGCUGUGCGGCUCUGCGGCCACAGGGCUGUGAUUGAAAAGGAAGAUGGGAAGGCAGAGGCAGAUUGUACUUCCUACGCUGAGAAACAUGGACAAACUCAUCCUAUAUACAAUAGACAGAGGACAGAGACUGGGAAAACAAGUGAUUGUAAGCCUAUCUGAAAUUAACACAAUUGUCUCUUCAGGCAGAGGGCCCAAAAUGUGUUUUGGAAAAGGGGGGAAGACCUGAAGUCAGAGAAUGUGUGGAUACAUUUGGCUACAAAGAUGAGUAGGAGGAGAGUCUCUGAGAAACAGACAUGGUAGCAUUUCAGGGAAAAAGAAGAGGCAAAGCUUGAUGCAAGAAGAACUUUGAAACGUUUGGUAGAGCCACGUGCGACUGAUCAAAAUAUUCACCCUAAGCACAGAAAAAAACCAAGUGUUAAGAUUUGCUGGAGUUGGGACUCGCAGCAAAACAUGGCUUUAUCAGAACUUGGGAGACCCUUCCAAUGGAAGCUGUUCUACCAGCACAAUCACUUUGAAGAACUUAAUCCAAAUUUCUGCAAUAAAGGAAGUAUUUAUUUUUAUUUAAUUUCAUUUUAUUUUUUAUAAAUUAUAAAAUUUAUUUUAUUUAAGACCAUUAUGGUCUUAAAUGAAAAAUCUCUAUACUUCUACUAGAACUCCUGUCCUUUAAUACUGGACACGUAACUGUAGUACUGAUGUUCUCUCUCAGUAACAGCCAGAGAUCCUCAGAAUAUUUUACUUAUGAGUGGUUUGGGAGGUAGGGGGUUACUGUGGCUUUUUUUCUGUUGUGUUUUGUUUGGGUUUUUUUUGUUUUGUUCUUUAAACAUAGUGCAGCACAGGGGACAUAAGAUUUAUCCCUUCAGGUCAGCAUUCAAGCGAAAAGUUAGCUUUCAAAGGUAUGAGAAAGAUGAGGCAAAUACCAAAAAGAGAAAAAGCACAACUUCGCAUCUAUUUAUCAGCUUAAUUAUGGAUAAUGUUAUUCCAAAAUGAAGAAUACUGCUACUGAACUAUGCUGUAUACACCUUUAAUAUUGUACGUAGCUCAUGCCUAGGAACACUUCAGAAGUAUUACAGCCCUAAACCCACUGCAAGCCUUGUUCUGUUCUAUGUGGGAAAUUAACAGCUUCAACCACUUAACUAUACUAAUGGACCUAUCUAGAGGAAUUUUAUCCAUGGUAUUGCUGUCCAAUGAGGAGAAUCUAUUACAGACAGGUAGCGAAGGAAAGCCACCAGGUAAUACUAGUUUCAAUAUUGGCUUUGCACAGCUUCAGUGUUGAGGAAAAUGAGAGGCAGCAGCUAAGAAUAUGCCAGCAGCCAAAUUGAGGGAGCCACAGUGUCUUUAUCUCCUGCUUCCCUAAACAUCCCUAUGUAACACAGCACAGCUUUUGUCUCUUGGACAUACUCUGGGUUGGAGUACUGCAUAUCAAGCUGUCAGCUUGCAGCCUGCCUGGGAGGGAUGAGGAAUAAGUAUGUGCAUUUCAUAAGUUUUUCUGCUUCUUCCCUACUUACAUCUAUUACCUUACUUAAAUACAAAAUACUUGUCUUCCAUCUAUGUUACUCUGUUUAGAAAAAAAAUGCAGAAAAGUUAUAUACACAAGUUUAUGUUUUCCUCCUAUAUUUUUAUGGCCAUCUGGGAUAUCCCAAACCUGUGACACAUACAUAUGUGUGACCAUAAACCAUUCAAGAAAAAAGUACAUACUGGAAUGUUUUAUUACAAACAUUCCUUGCAAUAUUUGCCCAAUCCUUUUCCUGAAGUCAUUAAUUCAUGUUUCUGUUGACAGAAGAGUCAAGAUUCAGUGUUUUAUAAGCAGUUCCUCAGUGCAAGAGUGCAGCAUGACUUCAAGUAGAGCACAGGUUGCCACACCUGCUUAACUGUUAAGGCGUAACUCUCCAUGUGAAUUAUCCAAAACACACAAGUGCCUGAUUCAUCACCCGCUCGUUCCAGACCUUCGUCGUUUCUCCAGCCAGGGCAGCGGCCGCGCCGGGAAUGGGAUUGCCCUUGUUCCUGGUGAUGCAUGCUCAUGAUCUGGACUCCAGGGCUCAAGCAGGACUGAAGGACACAUCUUGUCAGGCAACGAUAAAAACUACUCAUGCUGGUACAGGCCUGUACAACUUCUGUCCCAGUGGAGCUCUUCUGUCAGGGAUGCGGAUUUGCCUCUCACUAGGUGCUGCUGGCUGGUUCACUGCCUGAUAGAGGCUGUCUCUGAGACCUGAUUUAACCUGAAGCAUACACUUUCUCAGGAGGUCUGCAGUAGGGCCGAAGAAUUGCAAAUAUUGCAUCCUUCCCCUCCUGUCAUCUGCUUCCACAUGACUGCAAUGCCUGUGCUGUGGUGUCAGCUCAGUCACCCUGAAACGCUCCAUGUGAUGGAGGUUUGUACUGAGCUGGUACAGAGCGGACUUUGCUUUUGGUGGCAGUAUCCCUUGUUGCCAUGUUGUUCACAGAGAAGAUGGGUUUAUCCUUGCCUUUAUUCCACUGGGACCAGCUGCUUUACACACACGAAUCAAAAGUGGCAAAUCCUUGAUAUCCUCUUUCUACAUCACAUGAACUUCUUGGGUUUUUUGGAGAGGUAAAGCUUUUUUUUUAAAAACCCCACAUGUUGAACCAAAGUUGGAGAAACAACUGCAUCGUGUAGCUGAUACAGUGCAUGGGAGUACAAAGCAUUCCCAUGCCAUCAGGUCUUGUAUGUCGACUCCCUGUACAUACUAAAUGUGAUAGGUAUUAGGCAUGAGUGUAGACCUGAUGAGCAGCACUAGUUUGUCAUGCAAACACUUAUAUGAUGGCCCUAUCCUAUUUUCUAGAACCAAAGAUUUCACUGUGAUGAAGUGGACAUCUUAAAGCAUUGUAGGAUGUAGGGGGAUGUAACUGCACUUAACCUGAGCUUGGAUUAGCCAUAUCUAAUAUCCUGGAUUUUGCCAGUAAAUAGCAAAGUAUGUAAUCAAUGGGGAUAUGACCUUCUUAAUCUGUAACUACGAAAAAGAAAAGGACAGUCUUGAAAAUCGAGUGAUCUUUCAAAUCAUCUUAAGACAUAUUGACCCUGAAUCAUCACAGUGAAACUCAACAGGAGUGUUCCUAAUAGUGAUCUAAGAAGAUAGAUGUUGUUGAAUACAUCAAAAACAGUAUCUUGUUCCAGUUAUCCUUAGGAAUGUAAUAAAUGAUACUAACUCUUUCCCUACAGACCUUAUCUCACCUGUUUAUAGUGUUUGUAUUCAUUUUGUUUUGAGCUGGGAAGCAAUGCAUACCUAGAUACUGUUAAGAUUGCAAUAUGUUUUAUUAUGACUAUACCAUUUUAAAAAGAAUUGCUUGUGCUCUGGUCACUAGUUUGACCUGAGAAAAUAUACUUACAUUUCAUACUCCUGAAAGCAGAGGCAGAUUUGCUAUUAUACGCCAAUUCAGAGCAAUUUGCUCAUAAAAUAUCAGUUCCAGAAAACUCCCAAAUCUCUUGCACCUAUCUUCUCUAAUACAUGGCAAAUCCUUAGUACUUCCAAAAAGCUGCUCACAAGUCUGUAGGGUAUAAAGGAUUUGCUUUGGUUUGUUUUUUUUUUUAAAGCUCAGUAAAAAAUUAUGAAUGAGAUAAAUUCAGCUGUUGCUCCACAUAUUCACUACUGAAAACUGAUAGUUUGUUUUCAGAAUUGGAAAAUAAGAGCUAUUCUAAGUAGCCACUGUUGGAUUUAAUACUAUGGAAUAUUUCAAAGGUAAGUUUUAAAGAAAAAAAAUGAAAAAAGGUCAUUCACUGGUGCUGAUACAGGAAUGACAGAGGUUAAUACCACUGACAUCAUGUUGGAACUGUAUAGCAUUUUGUUAAUGGUUAUUAAUGCCCUGCUGCUGGGAGACAGACAGUGCCAGCUGCCAGUUAGUGUGGUGCCUCUCUGUGGGUGCGCCUAGGCCUCUGCUUGGGAAGGAGAGGGGCAUGAGGAAGGAAGGCUCAAGUCUGCUCCCCAGCUAGUCAUCCCUCCACUGAAACAGGAGGAGAGGAGAUACUGAGAGAAGGUAGUUACAGCUCCUUGCUGCUGUCUCUGCUGACUUCAGAACAGGUCUCGGAGAGUGAAGCUGGAGCAGCAGACGUUUACAGAAGCGUGUCCAGAGUGCACUGAGGACUUGUGUUCAAUUCAGAUCUUCAGGACUAAACUCAAGAUACACAUCCUUUGGAAGAAAACAGCAAGAAAUUCAGACAAACAUGGAAAUGAUACCAGUAGGCCUAGGGAAGAAGCCUAGGUUCAUGUAAGAGGGCCUUAGAGCUUUGGGCAUCAGUGGGAAGAAGUUGGAAGUGGCACAGAGUGAAGGAAAAAAGCCCUUGAGAGGAAGGGGAAGGAACUUUGUAAUGGCAGAAUGAUGAUGGAUAUAAAGCAAUUAAUUAGCUUUGACUACAUCAUAUUCAUUGCACAUCCAGAUUUGUGGGUUUAGCUGCCUCACUUGGGGCUAUCUAAUACUUUGUGUAAUACCUUUAAAUUUCAUCCACCAUAAGGGAAUGAAACAGAUACAGAAAGGUGCAAUACAUCAGUGUAGUGUAUCAAAUUGAGAAAGGCAUUUUUAGCAGUCUGUACUGAACACAGGUUUAAGGCAGCAUUAGAUUAUUCCUUAAGUGUAUUGUUGUUAUGACAAAUCUGAAAGGAGCUAAAAGCAUUUCAGUAGAUGAAAAAAGGAAACUUUUAUUUCCUUUCCCACAGCCUGGACUCAAAAUGGGAUUGCCAGCCAGGUUUACACAGCCUGGCCUCGUACCACACAAGCACCCUCUGGUGAAUGUAAGUGGAACACAUAAGACAUCAGUUGUGAUUCCUGUGGGAUGAACCGGGGCCAGAGCAUGUGGUAUACUGGGAGGGAGUUGGGCUUGUUCAGCCUGGAGAAGAGAAGGUGAAAGUGUGGCCCUGUAUAUCACUGUCCACAACUACCUGCUGAGAGGGUCCGUAGAAGGUAGAGUCAGACUUGUCUUGCACAGGAUGAGAGGCAAGAGAGCCAAGUUGGAGCAAGGGAGACUCCAACUACAGGCUAGAAAAAAAUAUUCCCAAAGAGCAUGCUAGGCUUUGGAGCAGGGGCCCAGAGAGGAGGCGGCGUCUCUAUCUUUGGAGAUGCUCAGAAUUUGACAGUACAAGCCCUGAGCAGGCUGUACUCUAAUCACUAGACUAGAGACCACUGGAGGUCCAUGCCAACUGUAUGUGCCUGUGGUUCUGUGGUAAUAUGUCGAAAUUAAAAAGAUAAAUGUACCAAAAAGGGCAUCAAAAUGCAUCAAAAAGGGCAUCGCCAGCAGGGCUAAAGAA